AGGAUCAAUGGCCCAACUGCAAGUGUGCUAGAAGGAGAGAGACAGAGGAGGAGGAGGGAUCCGUGAAGGGGAGGUCAGGCCACAGCUGCCAACGGCCCUGCCGGGGGUCUGCGGCAUCCGAGACUCAGACCUGCCCACAGAGGCCGAGUGCCCUGCCCCAGACACAAAACUGCUCAUUUUCUAAGAUUCUGAGCUCCCAUGCUAAGUCCAAACCAAUGGGAACCCACCAGGCAUCCAGGAAGAAUAAGUGAGUUCCCAAACUCAGGGCUUCUCCAUGGGGAGAAUCGGCACCUUUUCUGAGGAAACAGAUGAAAAGUAACCAUUGAACGGCUAUUACCAAACACCGUCCAUGUAAAGACACGGCACUUGAUUACUUGGGUCCAGAAUUUCAUUGUAACAGAUAUGGUAAAGCCAGGCAGCGGCCCACGUCAGCAGGGCAUCCUGCCCAGGGGGUGACGGAAGCAGAGCUCACCUGCCCUCCUGGCCCCCUCGGUACACUCUCGGCAGGCGGAGCCACACCUGCCACCCAGGCCUUCUGGGGCACGUCGGUCACCCACGAGUCAGGGGUGCCGGCUGCCUGCAGAACACGCCAGGCCGCCAGCCAGGGGUCACAGCCGCCCCUGCCAGCUCUCAGCGGUCCCGCUGACUGCCGUCCGCGGCACAUGGCACACGGUUCACUUCUGCAGUGAGACUGCUACGCUCUUCUAGCUCUUGUAGAACUUGUCCUUAAUCCUGUGAUUGGACACGGGCAAGGGGUGGCCAGAUCAGGACAAACUGCUUGGCAGGAUGGAGAAUGACGCGUGCAUUCUCACCUGUACUGACAGAAGCGAAUUCCGUGUACGGAACAGAGCUUUAAACUCUACUCCCCGAGUAGAUCACCUAGUCUGAAGCAUCACUGGCCACGGAGACUCGCCCACCAUUCACACCACGCCACAGCCUCUGCACCCUGGGAAUGCGCCCCCAGUGUGGAGCUGCCCCCAGGCUGGGGAACGCCCAUUCCAGAUAUUUGAAAGACAGACACUUUGAGUCAAGAAAACUUGCAUAAAGGCAAGUAAGUGAGACAUGAAAGGGAAUGAAUGGCUAUUCCCAUAAACAUUUUCACAAUUACGAUCUAUUUCUCCCUUUCAGUUCUUGGGACGGACCGAAGAUUAAGACCCAAGAGAUGACACUCGACCCGUCUUGGGCUGGGGGGGCAGCCCCAGAGCAGCUGCUGCAGAAAGUCCGAUUUGAGUGAAGUUAUUUAAUACUAGCGCCGACCUCCCAGCCCCAAGGCGCAUUUCAGAAGUGAAACAUGGAGAGCGGAGCAGAUUAGCAAGUGGGAAAACAUAAACAGCGAGGAAAGCAGAACAAAACGUCCCGGCCAUGAUUACUUCAAGGCAGGUAUCGUGUGAGUUUUCAAAACAGAAGAAGAGAACCAGCUGGCAAAGGAGAGUCAAGGGGACUUUACUUUUCUCACCAGCAGGCCUGGAGAGCUCACGGUGGAGGCGCGUUGACCUGCUGCCGAGUUGCGUCCCCUCCCCCAGCACACGUCACCGAGGAAGCAUUCGGCACCGAGCACCCGUCCCCUUGUGAAUCAACAACUGUCCUUCGCUGCAGAUUAGUGGAGCUUGUGACACUGACUGCAUACCAAGUUCCCUUCUGCUAAAAUAACAAUUCGCUCCAGAAAGGUCAGUAAUGGCGCCUCACCAAGUCCCUUCUGACAUUUACAGGGAAGACCUGAAGUCAGAGGGUCGUAGGCAGGUAGCAGCAGGGUUUUAAGAGCCCAGGCUGGGAAGUGCCCACCCAAUCACACAGACACACCCCACGCAGCCACGCACCUUCAUCUUUCUGGGUGAGUGUGCGUGAGGCCGCACCCCAAGGAGGGCAGGUAAAGACCCAGCCUCACGUAAAGUCUGGGCUCCCUGGGGCCCCUGCUGAGGCCCAGCUGUGUCCCCGACCCAGAUCCCGGCCCCUGUCAAAGGCCAUGACUGCAUCUCACCUUCAGGAGGCCGCUGGCCUCCACCUGCGGCUCUAAUGUCCCUCCAGUUUGUCCCCCCUGUGCUUUGCCCACCUGCGUGCCACAGCGCCAUGCCCAUGAUGAGACCCAGGGCAGCUGCCCAUCCAGGAAAAGGGGAAGCCCCACGCCCAAAGCCGGUGGACAGCAGGGCAGGGGGGUUGGGGCGUCCAGCAAAAGAGGGUGUGUGUGAGCAUGUGUGCACGCCUGUGAGACGCAACAGGAGGGAAGCGCAGCAGGCCCCAGGGACCGUGUGUCCCAGAAGACAUGGCAAAGUGGAACUGGUUUUCUGUGCACGUGCGUGGGCAGAAAGGAAAACUGCGCAACUAACGGAAAGGAGCAGGAGACUGUCACGGGAGAAAGAGAGCCGGAUUUCUGAAGAGAAAAGGGUGCCAAGCCCGUAGGGCAGCCAAGCCCCCCGCGAGGCAGGGGCUGCUUUCCACCCUGAGAUGUGUGCUUCAGCUCCUGGACCCACAGAGCUCCUCAGAGAGACCAGCCGUCUCACGUCCACGAGAAUGGAAACACUGCGCUACGUCAGGACUUCACAUCAUACUUUAGAAUGUUAUUGUAGCUUUUGCGGGAAGUUUCCCCCGAGCCAUAAAUCGCUGCUGCCCCGGCGGGCGAGGCCUCCCAUGAGCUGUCAGGUUACCAUCUCCUGCAGAGAACUGCGCGUCCCACGUCCACAGGGGCGCAGAGCCCAGGCAGCCAGGCCACCCCCACGGGCCUCCUGCACAGGCCGCAGCUCCCCCAGGGUGCUCUCGGGGUGCAGCCUGUGUGGUCCGGAGUCAGACGAGGCGGGGCUGCUGGCUGCCAGGGCCUCUGUGUUUGGACCAAGACACCAAACCCCCAGGGCUCCAGCUCCUUAUCGGGGAGAGGCAGAACCCGGCGCCGCCACCCACAUCACGGGGCCGGGAGGGUCUCUGCAGCGGCGGGGCCGCGAGGCCGAACAUCGGGAGGAAAGGGGCUAAGUCCCGACAUACAGGGAAGCGUGUCACCCCGGCUCCCGGGCCAGGGACAGCCUGGCAACAGGCUCACGUGGGCACCCCCACCCGGGCCCCCAGAACCUCAACCAGGUCGCAGAGAAGAGCCCCAAGCGAGGAAGCAGGAGCCCCGAGGCUCCCAGAAGUACGUCUGCUUCUUGCCAAACAACUUCCUGCCAUGAAAAGAUGCCCUUUGAUGGUUUGGAGUCUCAUAUGUGGAAGUGAAGACUAGUCAGGGGUCAGGGGACACAGCUGUCAUGGCAGUUUCCCAAAAUGUCCCAUCUCCCCCCCCCAAAAAUCAGGGCAAAGGUGACAAAUGGGGAAACAAAGGGCGGGACCCAAAUCACAGGCCCUGAGCAGGCUGCCUGCUAGCAAGACGCGAGCUCUGCCUCCCCCCGCGACCCCCGCUCAGCUCCGGGCCCCGCAGGCCUCCGCCCCUCAGCGCUGCCCCUUCCUCCCUCGGAGCAGGUGGCAGGGUGGGCAAUCUGUUCUGCGGGGGCCACGGCCGGUCUAAUGUUUCCCUCUGCCUGAGACGGCUGGUGCACAAGCCUAGGGAGGCACAAAGCUCACACCAGUAAAGGAGAACCCCCAUGGAUGUCAGGGCAGCAUCCCAGGAUUGGGCCAAGAAGUGCGGUCGAUCGAACUGGGAGCCAGGAAAUUUAAUUAUCAAUUCUGGCCCUAGAAGACAACUCCAAAGAAUUGAUCGUUCUAAGAACAUAUAAAUUAUGGCCAGCUUUUCUAAACAAAAGGUGAUUUGAGACAGUGAUUUUUGUUUCCCAUUCUGGAUGGCCCAUCAUUUUAUGUAAAUAGCUUGGUUAAAAAUAAGCAAAUGAAAUUUUAGAAUAACAAACAAAAA